rnacentral:lncRNA from 1 species
AAAUGUUUGCUGAUCGCGUUGGACAUGAAUGGCAGGAGUUCAGAACAUGUUCCACAUCCCACUGUGGAAGUUUACAAGACAAGUUGUUAUUUAUUUGAUUUUGUUCUUGAGGAAACAUAACACCUCAGUGACUUUUCAAUCUGAAAAGCUCAAGCACUGCUUUGCAUCCCAGAGAUGAUGGCUUUACAGACCCACUCUGCUUUUCAGCUCCAGUGCUUCAUUGAUCUUUCACACUGAUGCAAAACCAAGACAGAACUCCGAGCUGAGGGCGAAAAUAAGCAUUCAUUAGAAGAAAAAUGAAGACUUUGCCAAGUGAGCUGAGUUUUGAAAACAGAGGAAAAUAAUGCUGCCCAAAAACAAUGCAUUCAGGGCAGGUCCUCUGCGGCCUUCCUGCACGGCUCACUCUGACCUCCUUAUUGGACAUGCUGGAGUUUGCUUGCUUGAGGCUUUUCCAUAACAACUCAGCCUGGGACCUGUAUCUGUGAUGUUUACUGGAAGGUUAAAGCCAAACAAGUUGUAGUGCAGAAGGUUAAAAAUGAGCAGAAUUCUAAACAGCUGAGGGACCAGCAAGCCAUCCUUUUGGGGAGGUGCUGAGUACAUGUACCCUGCUGUCAGCAUUUGUAACAAUGUAGGAAUGAAACUAUGUCAGUGCUUUAUGGCGCCGUGGUAGGGCUUUUCCUAGUCUGGCUAGUGUUGAGGGAACUUGGAUUGUGGAGCUGCCAUAUGUUCAGGACUGAGAGGACAGGGACACAGGUGGAACUGGAGCUCUCCUCCAACCACAGCUGUGCUGUGUUUACGAGCCUGCUGCUCCCCGUUAUUAAGGCAGGAAGAUUGGGUAUUCCUCAUACAUAACCUUGAGCUGGAUCUCAAGUCCUGCACAUCUAGGAUCUUGUGAAUUGGCUAAGAAUCACAGACCAUUUGGCUAAGUAUUUCCUGCAGACUCCUUUCUCAUCUGUGCUUGGAAGUGGCACAGCUUGCUCAAAAAAGUAGCCAUAGGUUAGGGCUGUAGAAAGCUGGGAUCUGUAUAUGUUUUAGCUCAUGCAGUGCAGAGUAGUUAAGUUUGUGCUCCGUUUCUUCAUUGACUCCUUUCUCUGUGAUUUCAUUUCUUAGUCCUUGUGGUGGGGUAAAAAACAGUGCAGUGGUGACGAUGGCUGGUUCCUUUGCCCCCAGUGUGCAGAAUAUUGCUGCUAUUAUGGAGACUCAGGGUACAGGAACAGCCUGAGUUGUUAACUUCUUGUAGCCAGCAGCUUCUGGUUUAAUUGCACUGCCUAGCCCAUGGAGCUGAUGCAUCAAUCUUACUUAGCCUUAGACUCCUCACUUUGAAAUGUUGCUGCUUUCCAUUCCUGCUUGGCUUCUGUGAUCUUCACAGUUUGCAAGGGGCCAGCAGUUUGUUUAUUCUAUGAAGUCUAUCAAGCGUUCAGACUCUACAGCAGUAAGCAGAAUGGAAACAUGAAAAAUUAAUGUAAUGUUUGAUUGAAAACGUGCCUCAUUGCUUGCAUCUUCCUUACUGGUAGUUUAUUUUGCUUCGGAUAUUAACAAGUACACUGACCAGUCUAUAUAAAUUUACUGUUGUGCGUGCAGGUUGGAUUUGGAGGUGGUUGUUGCUGGUUACAUACUAGGCCAGUUCCAGAUGUGUACAAAACCAGAUUUGCCUUGGUGGCCCCAGUGGCAGCUUAAACCACGAAGCUGUGCUUCAGAUAUAAUGUGUGUCCAGUUUUUCCAUUAGAGUGCCUUGGUGUCGGCGUGGAAGGUAAGUGGUUGUGCAGAGCAGAUUUGCUGAUGAUAUCCAGAGUGAUGCAAAUAGUCCAGCUGCAGUUCAGAGAUGCAGAUUUUGUGCAGAGGUAGACCUGCA